AAGCUCUCAUCAGCUCAUCUUCAUCAUCAGCCAUGUUCUCUGUAGCUCUGCUGCUGCUGGCUGCUGGAUCCUGUGUGAAGUGUGACACGCUGACUCAGCCAGCCUCUGUGACUGUGCAGCCAGGUCAGAGUCUGACCAUCACCUGUCAGGUCUCUGGUUACUCUGUCAGCAGCAGCGGCUACUACACAGCCUGGAUCAGACAGCCUGCAGGGAAAGGACUGGAGUGGAUUGGGAUGAAGUACAGCAGUACUUCAUACUACAAAGAUUCACUGAAGAACAAGUUCAGCAUCGACUUGGACUCCUCCAGAAACACAGCGACUCUAAACGGACAGAACAUGCAGCCUGGAGACUCUGCAGUGUAUUACUGUGCCAGAGACCCACAGUGA